GUAAAGAUACAUUCUAUAAAGAAAGAGAAAAAGAAGAAUCAAGAUAGCAAACAGAAACACACACACGAAAACACUCUUACUACCGUUCUUGUUUUUUUUUUUUUUUUGGUU
rnacentral:ribozyme from 1 species